rnacentral:rRNA from 1 species
GACGAACGCUGGCGGCGUGCUUAACACAUGCAAGUCGAACGGUGAAGCGCCUUCCUUUUUGGUGGGUGGGGAUGAGUGGCGAACGGGUGAGUAACACGUGAGUAACCUGCCCCCUUCUUCUGGAUAACCGCAUGAAAGUGUGGCUAAUACGGGAUAUUCUGGGUCUGUCGCAUGAUGGGUCUGGGAAAGAUAUUGUUUCGGUGGGGGAUGGGCUCGCGGCCUAUCGGCUUGUUGGUGGGGUGAUGGCCUACCAAGGCGGUGACGGGUAGCCGGCCUGAGAGGGUGGACGGUCACACUGGGACUGCGCCACGGCCCAGACUCCUACGGGAGGCAGCAGUGGGGAUUAUUGCACAAUGGGCGCAAUCCUGAUGCAGCGACGCCGCGUGAGGGAUGGAGGCCUUCGGGUUGUGAACCUCUUUCGCCAGUGAAGCAGGCCUGCCUCGUUUGUGGGUGGGUUGACGGUAGCUGGAUAAGAAGCGCCGGCUAACUACGUG